CUGUUGUAUGAAAGAAGAGCAAGUAAGCACGGCCCUUGACAAGCACAGAAGAGGCUCUUGGGCCUAACAACACACAUAUGGUUAAGGCAUUGCCACCAACUUUGUGGCAUAAAACCAUCAUUUUUA